AGUUCGUUCGGUAGCCAAGGAUGACUUGCCUAAUAUAGGGUUUUCCUAGGGCCUGGUACCAAUGGUUUUAGGCGAGUCAUCCUGGCUAUCUCAGCAGAUUCU
rnacentral:pre_miRNA from 1 species